CGUAGCCAGCGUGGAUCUGCCGGACAAAGGGAGCCAGGUCCUGUGAGGGAUGGAGUGAGAUUUCAUCAUGCUAUUCAGAAUGGUGUGCAAUUGAAAACUUGUUUAUUUCUGGGAUUUUCCAUUUAAUAUUUUCAGACUGAAGUGGACCACAAGUAACUGAAACCAUGGAAAGUGAAACUGAGGAUAAAGGAGGCUCCCAUAAAUUCACAAGCCAGAAGAGUCAUUUGGAAAGGAGCAGCAGCCCAAAGCUACUGGAGGAGAGAAGAAGGGAGGAGGAAGCGUCUGGGCAUGAGAGCAGCAGGAGUUGAGGUUACAGAGCUGUCGAAAUCUCUCCUGCCUGGACCAAAGGUGCUUAAAUACUUGGAACACUUGAAAGUAAAAGAAAUCCCAACUCUAAGCCUCUUUGCAUCACGUGAAUGUCAUUUUUUUUACUUUCCUUCAAACACACACACACGGUAGCCUGCAGCCUUGCUUUGAGCAGCCUUUUUCUUAAGGUAGCACUAACCAGCAGGGAGAUGUUAGGAGAUUGAGAUUCCAAUUAAGGCUGCCUCUGAUUGCACUAGACAAGUCUCUGCUACUUAGAAAACAAGGCUGAAAAAUCCCAGAUUAAGGUUGUAGAGGAUAGCAUGGAUCAGAACCAAGGAGCUCACAAAAGCCCACUUACCAUGAAAAUUAUAUGAAAUGGGAGCCAUUAAAAAUAAAAAUAUUCAACAGGAACACUGCUGGCUAAAUCACAAAUUAAGAUGUAGCACAGGUCAAAUGGUGGUUCCCAA
rnacentral:lncRNA from 10 species